GACGAACGCUGGCGGCGUGCCUAAUACAUGCAAGUCGAACGGUUUAGUUCCAAGAGGCCAGACUCUUGGAACUAAGCAGUGGCGGACGGGUGAGUAACACGUAGGCAACCUACCUGUCAAACCGGGAUAACCUCGGGAAACCGAAGCUAAACCCGGAUAAGCUCCUUUUUCGCAUGAAGGGGGAGUGAAAAGGUGCGACCUGAUGACAGAUGGGCCUGCGGCGCAUUAGCUAGUAGGUAGGGUAACGGCCUACCUAGGCGAUGAUGCGUAGCCGACCUGAGAGGGCGUACGGCCACACUGGGACUGAGAUACGGCCCAGACUCCUACGGGAGGCAGCAGUAGGGAAUCUUCGGCAAUGGGCGAAAGCCUGACCGAGCAACGCCGCGUGAGUGAGGAAGGCCUUCGGGUUGUAAAACUCUGUUGUUUGGGAAGAAGGGAAAGGGUAGGACCCUUAGGUGACGGUACCAAACGAGAAAGCCCCGGCUAACUACGUG
rnacentral:rRNA from 1 species